UCCGGCGGCCGGCGAGGGUUUUUCCCGGUGAGAUCUUCACAAUCGCGAGUCCCCUUCAUCGAGGAGAAGGUGUUGCCGCAAGGGAUCACGGGAAUCUUCACCUAUCCGGAACCCUAGACUUCUCCUUUCCGGUUGUAAUUCCAAGAUCGCUCGAUAAAGGAAAGGAAAAGAUUUAGCAAGGAAGGCGACAAGGUGGUGGUGAUGAAGG